CGUCGAGGGAGGGACCCGCGGGGGGACCUGCUGGCAGCACCCACAGGGCCACACGGAGCAGCCUGGCAGGACAGCAAAGGUUGUGGAGGAUAAGGAGUUAAAAUAGAAGAGAGGUGGGAGGCAGCAGCACAGCCCAGCUCCCCCCAGAAGGCUGAGGGGCCACGUCAGUUGUUGAGUUCCUGCAUUGAGAGAAGUGGCUGAAAUGCCACCCAAAAGGUGACAGAGGCACAGCCCCGUGAGGCCCUGCCCACCUGGGCACACGGCGAUGCCCUUCCCGGUGUGGAUCCCCUCCCUGCCCAUCCUGCA
ensembl:lncRNA